UGGAUUUUAUUAUCAAUUGCUUUUAAAGUUAAAUUUAGUUCAGUUAAAUUAUUUUGAAAGCUUGUUAUAUUCUUAUUACAUGUUUCAGUAUAGUUAAAGUUAUUUUUAAAAAUCACUAGAAAGUACCAAGGUGAUUUUACCUCAUUUUGCACUGAUGUGAAUGUGUUUCCACAGUGUAUGACUAGUUAUAGUGAUUUUACCCGCUCUACACCAUCGUGAAUGUGUUUCCAUAGUGCAUGACCAGAAUAUCAGAGAUCUUUGGGACCCACUCUCGUACACACAUAGGCUUUGGGUCGUGUACUAGGGUGAUUAGCCUUUGGAGCAGCUCUGCGUACGUAUGACUAGAUUAUCAGAUUAUCAGAUUUGAAUGGCUUUGCCUUGUACAUCGAGAUUACUCUGUACAUGAGUAAGGCUAUUCAUUGGGUACUUUUUUUGGUGUGAUUUUUCAGUAUUUAUUCAGUUCUCAGACUUCAGAUUAUGGAAUUCAGUUAAUUCAGUUCUCACAAUAAAGCUUUCAUCUUAAAGUAUUGAGCAGGAGCAAUAUUUCAUAGAUUUUCAUGAAUAUCAAAUUCUUUAUAUUUGUUGUACCUUAUAGAUACUUUUCUAGAAUUUAGAACAAAGAAUUUUAUAAUGUAAUUAUGUUUAGUUUUUAAAAGGGUAAUUGGCACAAAACAUCCAUACCUUUCAAGUUUAUUGUGGAAAACGUCCAUACCUUUCAUUUUUUGGCAUUUUUGCCCUCAUUUCAACAUUUCUUUGCGCUGGACAUCCUUCCGUCCAUAUUCCGUCAGUUUUUCCGUUAAUUAAAGGGUAAUUGGCA
rnacentral:lncRNA from 1 species